rnacentral:rRNA from 1 species
GGCUUAAUUUGACUCAACGCGGGAAACCUUACUAGGGUAGGACAAUAGAAUGAUUGACACGAUGCACGUCGUUUCUUAAUUGAUUGGGUGGUGGUGCAUGGCCGAUCUUAGUUGGUGGGGUGACUUGUCUGGUUAAUUUCGAUAACGAACGAGAUCCGAGCCGUUUCGUUGUAUAUCAUAAGAAUUCUUGUGAUGUAUAUCAAAAUGGACCAUCUGCUCAAGCAGAAGGAAGUGACGGGCUAAAUCAGGUCUGUGAUGCCC